GAUGAACGCUAGCGACAGGCUUAACACAUGCAAGUCGAGGGGCAUCGGGGUGUAGCAAUACACUGCCGGCGACCGGCGCACGGGUGAGUAACGCGUAUGCAACUUACCUAUCAGAGGGGAAUAGCCCGGCGAAAGUCGGAUUAAUGCCCCAUAAAACAGGGGUCCCGCAUGGGACUAUUUGUUAAAGAUUCAUCGCUGAUAGAUAGGCAUGCGUUCCAUUAGGCAGUUGGCGGGGUAACGGCCCACCAAACCGACGAUGGAUAGGGGUUCUGAGAGGAAGGUCCCCCACAUUGGAACUGAGACACGGUCCAA
rnacentral:rRNA from 1 species